rnacentral:rRNA from 1 species
UAUUCGGAGAGUUUGAUCCUGGCUCAGAACGAACGCUGGCGGUACGCUUAACACAUGCAAGUCGAACGGUAACAGGCUCUUCGGAGUGCUGACGAGUGGCGAACGGGUGAGUAACACGUGGAUACCUACCCUGGGGUCUGGGACAACACCUUAAUUUCACAAAAGCGCAUUUUUAUUCAGCCAAACUCCGCAAGGCUCGGAAACAGCUCCAAAAGCCAGA